AUUGAACGCUGGCGGCAGGCUUAACACAUGCAAGUCGAGCGGGGUGAUGGUGCUUGCACUAUCACUUAGCGGCGGACGGGUGAGUAAUGCUUAGGAAUCUGCCUAUUAGUGGGGGACAACAUCUCGCAAGGGAUGCUAAUACCGCAUACGUCCUACGGGAGAAAGCAGGGGAUCACUUGUGACCUUGAGCUAAUAGAUGAGCCUAAGUCGGAUUAGCUAGUUGGUGGGGUAAAGGCGUACCAAGGAGACGAUCUGUAGCGGGUCUGAGAGGAUGAUCCGCCACACUGGGACUGAGACACGGCCCAGACUCCGACGGGAGGCAGCAGUGGGGAAUAUUGGACAAUGGGGGGAACCCUGAUCCAGCCAUGCCGCGUGUGUGAAGAAGGCCUUAUGGUUGUAAAGCACUUUAAGCGAGGAGGAGGCUCUUUUGGUUAAUACCCAAGAUGAGUGGACGUUACUCGCAGAAUAAGCACCGGCUAACUCUGUGCCAGCCGCCGCCGUAA
rnacentral:rRNA from 1 species